rnacentral:rRNA from 1 species
AGAACGAACGCUGGCGGCAUGCCUAAUACAUGCAAGUCGAACGAGACCUUCGGGUCUAGUGGCGCACGGGUGCGUAACGCGUGGGAAUCUGCCCUUAGGUACGGAAUAACUCAGAGAAAUUUGUGCUAAUACCGUAUGAUGUCGAAAGACCAAAGAUUUAUCGCCUAAGGAUGAGCCCGCGUAAGAUUAGCUUGUUGGUGAGGUAAAAGCUCACCAAGGCGACGAUCUUUAGCUGGUCUGAGAGGAUGAUCAGCCACACUGGGACUGAGACACGGCCCAGACUCCUACGGGAGGCAGCAGUGGGGAAUACUGGACAAUGGGCGAAAGCCUGAUCCAGCAAUGCCGCGUGAGUGAUGAAGGCCGUUAGGGUUGUAAAGCUUCUUUUACCAGGGUAUGAUAAUGACAGUACCUAGGAGAAUAAGCUCCGGCUAACUCCGUGCCAGCAGCCGCGU